rnacentral:rRNA from 1 species
CACUCCUGCGGGAGGCAGCAGUGGGGAAUAUUGGACAAUGGGCGCAAGCCUGAUCCAGCCAUGCCGCGUGAGUGAUGAAGGCCCUAGGGUUGUAAAGCUCUUUCACCGGAGAAGAUAAUGACGGUAUCCGGAGAAGAAGCCCCGGCUAACUUCGUGCCAGCAGCCGCGGUAAUACGAAGGGGGCUAGCGUUGUUCGGAAUUACUGGGCGUAAAGCGCACGUAGGCGGAUCGAUCAGUCAGGGGUGAAAUCCCAGGGCUCAACCCUGGAACUGCCUUUGAUACUGUCGAUCUGGAGUAUGGAAGAGGUGAGUGGAAUUCCGAGUGUAGAGGUGAAAUUCGUAGAUAUUCGGAGGAACACCAGUGGCGAAGGCGGCUCACUGGUCCAUUACUGACGCUGAGGUGCGAAAGCGUGGGGAGCAAACAGGAUUAGAAACCCGAGUAGUCCC